UACAGAGGGUGCGAGCGUUAAUCGGGAUUACUGGGCGUAAAGCGCACGUAGUCGGCUUUGCAAGUCGGGUGUGAAAUCCCCGGGCUCAACCUGGGAACUGCAUCCGAGACUGCAUUGCUAGAGUAUGGGAGAGGGAAGCGGAAUUUCUGGUGUAGCAGUGAAAUGCGUAGAUAUCAGAAGGAACAUCAGUGGCGAAGGCGGCUUCCUGGACCAAUACUGACGAUCAGGUGCGAAAGCGUGGGGAGCAAACAGG
rnacentral:rRNA from 1 species